rnacentral:piRNA from 1 species
UACACUCUCCUGUCUGCAUUGAAUGAAUUGU